rnacentral:rRNA from 1 species
AUUGAACGCUGGCGGCAUGCCUUACACAUGCAAGUCGAACGGUAACAGGUCUUCGGAUGCUGACGAGUGGCGAACAGGUGAGUAAUACAUCGGAACGUGCCCGAGAGUGGGGGAUAACGGAGCGAAAGCUUUGCUAAUACCGCAUACGAUCUACGGAUGAAAGCAGGGGACCGCAAGGCCUUGCGCUCAUGGAGCGGCCGAUGGCAGAUUAGGUAGUUGGUGGGAUAAAAGCUUACCAAGCCGACGAUCUGUAGCUGGUCUGAGAGGACGACCAGCCACACUGGGACUGAGACACGGUCCAGACUCCUACGGGAGGCAGCAGUGGGGAAUUUUGGACAAUGGGCGCAAGCCUGAUCCAGCAAUGCCGCGUGCAGGAAGAAGGCCUUCGGGUUGUAAACUGCUUUUGUACGGAACGAAAAGGUCUGGGUUAAUACCCUGGGCUCAUG